UUACUCCAAAAAACACGUUAUGACAGUAGUUGAAUUUUGAAGAAAAAAAUGUGAACCAUUGACGAAAAAUGUAAAAGUUUAUAUUUCAGCCCAACAAGAUUUUCAUUUCAAAUUAAGAAUAGUACAAUUCAAUUUAAAAAAAUUAAUUUUGAACCAAAAAGAAUGAUUUCCUACCAUUGGGCUUCUUUGAAGGCAUUUUAUAAUUGUCAUUGUUUGAAGCACUGGGAAGACGCAAUUGGUGUGCAUUAUUGCAUUACCUCAGAUGGGUGUUUCUGACGCCAAGAAGCGGAAUCGUGGCAAGAACAAAAUUUAAAUAAUAAUGUAUUACAAUUUCUUCAGAAGACCUUUCACAAUUUAAAUAAAUUUAAGCUGUUGAACUGCAUUAAGACAACCAACCCAUAGAUGAACGUUUCUUCCUCACUGAACCUUUUGAUUAUCAUGAUAGUUACUUAUAUUAUUGGAAGCUACCAGAAUAAUUUUAUUUUAGU